AGAGUUUGAUCAUGGCUCAGAUUGAACGCUGGCGGCAUGCCUUACACAUGCAAGUCGAACGGCAGCACGGGGGCAACCCUGGUGGCGAGUGGCGAACGGGUGAGUAACAUAUCGGAACGUGCCCUGGAGUGGGGGAUAACUAGUCGAAAGACUAGCUAAUACCGCAUACGAUCUACGGAUGAAAGUGGGGGAUCGCAAGACCUCAUGCUCGUGGAGCGGCCGAUAUCUGAUUAGCUAGUUGGUGGGGUAAAGGCCUACCAAGGCAUCGAUCAGUAGCUGGUCUGAGAGGACGACCAGCCACACUGGGACUGAGACACGGCCCAGACUCCUACGGGAGGCAGCAGUGGGGAAUUUUGGACAAUGGGGGCAACCCUGAUCCAGCAAUGCCGCGUGAGUGAAGAAGGCCUUCGGGUUGUAAAGCUCUUUUGUCAGGGAAGAAACGGCGGGGGCUAAUAUCUCCUGCUAAUGACGGUACCUGAAGAAUAAGCACCGGCUAACUACGUGCCAGCCGCCGCGGUAAUAC
rnacentral:rRNA from 1 species